UUAAGUUCAGCGGGUAGUCCUACCUGAUUUGAGGUCAAAAUGUCAAGAGUUGUCCUGAAAGGACGGUUAUGAGCAGGUUCCCAUUAGUUUGCUUCAAAGUCAAGAUGGCAUAGAUAAUUAUCACACCAAGUGACGGUCCACAAGAGAUCCCACUAAUGCAUUUAAAGGGAGCAGACCAUCCACUGAAGGAAGCCAGCAAA
rnacentral:misc_RNA from 1 species